rnacentral:rRNA from 1 species
GAUCAUUACACAAUAACAAGGCGGGCUGGACACCCUCCAGCCGGGCACUGCUUCACGGCGUGCGCGGCUGGAGCCGGCCCUGCUGAAUUAUUCACCCGUGUCUUUUGCGUACUUCUUGUUUCCUGGGUGGGCUCGCCCGCCAUCAGGACCAACCAUAAACCUUUUGCAAUAGCAAUCAGCGUCAGUAACAACGUAAUUAAUUACAACUUUCAACAACGGAUCUCUUGGUUCUGGCAUCGAUGAAGAACGCAGCGAAAUGCGAUACGUAGUGUGAAUUGCAGAAUUCAGUGAAUCAUCGAAUCUUUGAACGCACAUUGCGCCCUUUGGUAUUCCAAAGGGCAUGCCUGUUCGAGCGUCAUUUGUACCCUCAAGCUUUGCUUGGUGUUGGGCGUCUUUUGUCUCCAGCUCGCUGGAGACUCGCCUUAAAGUCAUUGGCAGCCGGCCUACUGGUUUCGGAGCGCAGCACAAGUCGCGCUCUUUGCCAGCCAAGGUCAGCGUCCAGCAAGCCUUUUUUCAACCUUUGACCUCGGAUCAGGUAGGG